GAUGAACGCUAGCGGCAGGCCUAAUACAUGCAAGUCGAACGGUGUCUUCGGACAUAGUGGCGCACGGGUGCGUAACACGUAUGCAACCUACCUUACAUUGGGGGAUAGCCUUUCGAAAGGGAGAUUAAUACCGCAUAAGACAGUAGCUGGGCAUCCAGCUGCUGUUAAAGAUUUAUCGAUGUAAGCUGGGCAUGCGUCCAAUUAGCUAGUUGGUGAGGUAACGGCUCACCAAGGCAAUGAUUGGUAGGGGAACUGAGAGGUCAAUCCCCCACACUGGCACUGAGCUACGGGCCAGACUCCUACGGGAGGCAGCAGUAGGGAAUAUUGGGCAAUGGACGCAAGUCUGACCCAGCCAUGCCGCGUGCAGGAUGAAGGCGUUAUGCGUUGUAAACUGCUUUUAUACAGGAAGAAACGACUCUUGCGAGAGGCAUUGACGGUACUGUAUGAAUAAGCACCGGCUAACUCCGUGCCAGCCGCCGCAGUAAUAC
rnacentral:rRNA from 1 species